rnacentral:rRNA from 1 species
AACGAACGCUGGCGGCGUGCCUAACACAUGCAAGUCGAGCGCGAAAAGGGCAACCUGAGUAGAGCGGCGCACGGGUGCGUAACACGUGGGUAAUCUGCCUUAGAGUCGAGGAUAACCUUCCGAAAGGUUGGCUAAUACUCGGUAAGCUUACGGUGUCUUCGGACGCUGUGGGAAAAGUAGGCCUCUGUUUACAAGCUUACGCUCUGAGAUGAGCCCGCGGCCCAUCAGCUAGUUGGCGGUGUAACGGACCACCAAGGCAACGACGGGUAGCUGGUCUGAGAGGACGAUCAGCCACACUGGAACUAAGACACGGUCCAGACUCCUACGGGAGGCAGCGGUGGGGAAUUUUCCACAAUGGGCGAAAGCCUGAUGGAGCAACGCCGCGUGUGUGAUGAAGGUUUUCGGAUCGUAAAGCACUUUCGACUGGGACGAAAAACCUUUGGCUAACAUCCAGGGGCCUGACGGUACCAGGAGAAGAAGCACCGGCUAACUCUGUGCCAGCCGCCGCAGUAAUAC